rnacentral:rRNA from 1 species
GACGGAAGGUGCAAGCGUUGCUCGGAAUCACUGGGCGUAAAGGGUGCGUAGGCGGCCGUGCAAGUCUGGCGUGAAAGCCCCGGGCUCAGCCCGGGAAGUGUGCUCGAAACUGCGCGGCUCGAGUGCCGGAGGGGAGAGUGGAAUUCCUGGUGUAGCGGUGAAAUGCGUAGAUAUCAGGAGGAAUACCGGUGGCGAAAGCGACUCUCUGGACGGCAACUGACGCUGAGGAGCGAAAGUGUGGGGAGCGAACAGG